UACGGAGGAUCCAAGCGUUAUCCGGAAUCAUUGGGUUUAAAGGGUCCGUAGGUGGACGGUUAAGUCAGGGGUGAAAGUCUGCAGCUCAACUGUAGAACUGCCCUUGAUACUGGUCGUCUUGAAUCAUUGUGAAGUGGUUAGAAUAUGUAGUGUAGCGGUGAAAUGCAUAGAUAUUACAUAGAAUACCGAUUGCGAAGGCAGAUCACUAACGAUGCAUUGACACUGAUGGACGAAAGCGUGGGUAGCGAACAGG
rnacentral:rRNA from 1 species